GAUGAACGCUAGCGAUAGGCCUAACACAUGCAAGUCGAGGGGCAUCACAUGAAGUAGCAAUACGGAUGGUGGCGACCGGCGCACGGGUGAGUAACACGUAUGCAACCUACCUUAUACUGUGGGAUAGCCCGGGGAAACCCGGAUUAAUACCGCAUGGUACCAUUAGAAGGCAUCUGAAGAUGGUUAAAGCCCCGGCAUCUGUCGGGGCGGUAUAAGAUGGGCAUGCGUAGGAUUAGCUGGUUGGCGGGGUAACGGCCCACCAAGGCGACGAUCCUUAGGGGUUCUGAGAGGAAGGUCCCCCACACUGGUACUGAGACACGGACCAGACUCCUACGGGAGGCAGCAGUGAGGAAUAUUGGUCAAUGGGCGCAAGCCUGAUCCAGCAAUGCCGCGUGAGUGAUGAAGGCCUUAGGGUUGUAAAGCUCUUUCGCACGCGACGAUGAUGACGGUAGCGUGAGAAGAAGCCCCGGUAACUACGUGCCAGCAG
rnacentral:rRNA from 1 species